GCCUUCCUGAUGAGGAUGUUCCUAGAGAUUACUUGAUUUGCAGGCCCCUGUCACAAUGAGCACACUGCAGCCGUCCUUCAGUCGAGAAAUGUUUUCCUGGAUGAGCCUUAUUUUGUCAUCGUGGCAUGAGACAGUGACUAGUGGAAGGAGGGUCUAUAUGCACUGUACUCAGAACAGGAAGGAUGACUGUGUGACAUUAUGCAGAGUUAUCACCACACAGUUUUGUCACACGUUUCUGUAAAGCCAUUAAACUUUUGGCUGCUUUUUAAAUUUUUUUUUUUUGGUUAUUUAUUUAUUUUAGGGCCAAGUGAAAUGUUAAAAAUGAACUCUCACUCAGCUUGGUGCCUUGCUCAGAGGGUGAUGGCAGACAGCCACCGGCUGUGCCCUUUCUGGCUGGAGUGUUGGUAUCUCACCAGGAUGGUUUUGCAUUCUGUGACAGGGCCGCUCUCUACUGUGCCUCCUUAGAGUUCAUCAAUGCUCUUCACGAUUAUGAUGCCAACUGUUACCUUCAAAAUCCUCGGAAGGAAGUGGUCAGGGAGGACUCACCAUGAACUAGAACUGCUAGAUAUGUGAGAGACUUACCUGCCAGGCCUCCACCUUCUUGAUGUCUGCACAGGACCCAUUGGUGAAAAGCCCUCUUCCAGGAAGCUCAAGGUGAAAUGCUGGUCCCUUCUCGAAGCCACAAGAUGCGGAGGGAAAGUGCUGCUCUCUGAGGAGCUGAGUGAGCUCAUGGCCUCUGAGGUGUCUCCCAGCUAAUCGAGGUGACACUGUGGCAAUCACAUCCUACUACAGAGCUGUGGCUGGAAGCCACAUUCUAAAGGGUCACAGUCAAGGAAAGAGCAACAGAUGGGGGACAGAGCAGUGAGGGCCUGAAAGAAAUCACGUGUAAGAGGAGCUGACUGGAAAAUGGAGACUAUGGACUUGGAGCAGAAAAGAUUUAGGCGGACAUAUUAGCUGCCUUCAGAUGUUUUGGGAGGCCUCAAGAUACCUAACAACCUGUGAUGUCCCAACUA